GAAUGCAACAUUGAUUGUAAUUGCCUUGGUCUACUUCAUGUUCCCGUUUUUUACUUAAAGCAGUGCUACAACUGUAGUGGACCUUGUCCUAAUGCCAGUGAGCUAACCCUAACAGGGUUGCCGCCCGUCGUGUCCCAGCCAACUGGUCUGAUAGAUAAAAGUGGAGGAUUUCAGGACACCAGACAUGGACUCUUUAUCCAGCAUCACAAUGUGGAUGAGGCCCAGUCUCUGACCAUAUCAAAGUACAGGAAGCACAAACAAGUCAGUAACACACAAGGCGGCCAAAAGGAUAUGAGCUUCAGACAUAUACGAAGAACAGCAGCUACAGGACUUUCCCACUGUGACAAAGAGAUACCGUCACGUCUCACGGCCAUGAAGAAGGCAGCAGAUUUCCAAAUUGUAUCAAACCUCUUUCCAUGUAGCAGUCAGAAGAAAUAAAGCGCACAGAUGACAAAGGUGAUCACCAAUUCAGGAGAUUUCUUAAAAUACUUGACCAUGUUUGUGUUAUUCAAGAAAUAAGAACAAUUUAAACAGGAGUAUAAUAAAAGACACUUUUGUUUGAAGGAAAACGAACCUGAAAUGCUUGUACCAUAUCCCUGUCAUGUACCUUCGCAAAAUGUGGAAGUACUUUCUGCCCACAUUUGUGGAUCGGUAGCCAUGGUAAUCUGAGGAUGAGAGUGGUUUCACCUCUACUUUUAGUUCCAUCCUUCGCCCUUAAAACACCCAUAGAUGUAAUGUUGUGUGAGGCUGCAUCCAUCGGGUCAAACACAUCCCAAAGAAGUGGCUAAUCCAGCUUUAACACACCUCUCUGUGGACAGAAUCUGCAGCUUCUCGGAUAUACAUGCAAUCUUGAAUGGGGUCCAAAUGGAUUUCAGAGAUUGCCAUUUUCAUCAUGUUAGCCUCUUUUCUACAAACUGAGCGCUGUUUUUUCACCAAUAGGCGACUCUUGUGCAAAACUGGAACGUUACAGCCACGGGUGUAAACCCUCUUUAAUCCAGUAGUCGAUGGAAAAUAGUCUUUGAAAUGUACAAUAUAUUUUAGACUGUAAGAACAAACCCUUAAUUUUUGUUUAAGACAGCUGGUUCUUGAAAUGUAUAUCUAUGUCAGGUAACCUAAUACUGUCUGUCUAUCUGUCUAUCUAUCUAUCUAUCUAUCUAUCUAUCUAUCUAUCUAUCUAUCUAUCUAUCUAUCUAUCUAUCUAUCUAUCUAUCUAUCUAUCUAUCUAUCUAUCUAUCUAUCUAUCUAAUAUAUAAUCUAAUAUCCCCCAAUAAAUCAACCUCCUGCUCACGUGUGUCCAUAUUAUUUAGCGUCGUGCUUCCUGCCUG
rnacentral:lncRNA from 1 species